UAAGGCUAAAUACUCUCUAGUGACCGAUAGUGAACCAGUACCGUGAGGGAAAGGUGAAAAGCACCCCGGAAGGGGAGUGAAAUAGAACCUGAAACCGUGUGCUUACAAGUAGUCAGAGCCCGUUAAUGGGUGAUGGCGUGCCUUUUGUAGAAUGAACCGGCGAGUUACGAUUUGAUGCAAGGUUAAGCAGUAAAUGUGGAGCCGUAGCGAAAGCGAGUCUGAAUAGGGCGUUUAGUAUUUGGUCGUAGACCCGAAACCAGGUGAUCUACCCUUGGUCAGGUUGAAGUUCAGGUAACACUGAAUGGAGGACCGAACCGACUUACGUUGAA
rnacentral:rRNA from 1 species